rnacentral:misc_RNA from 1 species
CCGAGUUUACAACUCCCAAACCCAAUGUGAACGUUACCAAACUGUUGCCUCGGCGGGGUCACGCCCCGGGUGCGUAAAAGCCCCGGAACCAGGCGCCCGCCGGAGGAACCAACCAAACUCUUUCUGUAGUCCCCCUCGCGGACGUAUUUCUUACCAGCUCUGAGCAAAAAUUCAAAAUGAAUCA